AUUGAACGCUGGCGGCAUGCCUUACACAUGCAAGUCGAACGGUAACAGGUUAAGCUGCCGAGUGGCGAACGGGUGAGUCAUGUAUCGGAACGUGCCCAGUCGUGGGGGAUAACUGCUCGAAAGAGCAGCUAAUACCGCAUACGACCUGAGGGUGAAAGCGGGGGAUCGCAAGACCUCGCGCGAUUGGAGCGGCCGAUAUCAGAUUAGGUAGUUGGUGAGGUAAAGGCUCACCAAGCCGACGAUCUGUAGCUGGUCUGAGAGGACGACCAGCCACACUGGGACUGAGACACGGCCCAGACUCCUACGGGAGGCAGCAGUGGGGAAUUUUGGACAAAGGGCGCAAGCCUGAUCCAGCCAUGCCGCGUGCGGGAAGAAGGCCUUCGGGUUGUAAAACGCUUUUGUCAGGGAAGAAAAGGUUCUGGCUAAUACCUGGGACUCAUGACGGUACCUGAAGAAUAAGCACCGGCUAACUACGUG
rnacentral:rRNA from 1 species